rnacentral:lncRNA from 1 species
AUUAUGUCCCUAUCCCAAGCCCAGACUGAGAUUCCUAGCUUUGCUUUGAAUCCACAUGGAUCAGCCCCCUUCAGCCCAGAUUGCACUGGACUGGGACUCCAGACUUCUUCGCAGCCAACUGUGAAUGAGUGUCCAGAACUGUGUGAUGGCAAAAAAGUCUUCUGUUGA